AUGAGAUGGAGCUUCUAUGGCUCAGCAGUCCGGGGCUGAUUCAUUUCUGCAGCGUCUCCUUGAACCGCUGUUCACUCUGAUUUUCUAUCCCUGUGUCUGGGCCGGCUUCACUUUUAUCCUGAGUGUCAGACUAGAUUAUAGGAUCUCAUAUAUGCUGUCAAUAUAUAAGAAGGAGUUUGGAGAGGACAAUGACAAUGCAGAGACAUCUGCCAAUGGAUCUCCAGACACUUUACUACCAUCAGCUAUUGUUCCUGAUAUAGAUGAAAUUGCAGCUCAGGCAGAAACUAUGUUUGCGGGAAGAAAGGAAAAAAACCCAGUUCAACUUGACGAUGAAGGAGGCAGGACGUUUUUACGGGUCCUCAUUCAUCUCAUCAUGCACGACUACCCGCCUUUGCUGUCUGGAGCCCUGCAGCUGUUGUUUAAGCACUUCAGCCAGAGGGCGGAGGUUUUACAGGCAUUUAAGCAGGUGCAAUUACUGGUGUCUAAUCAAGACGUAGAUAACUACAAGCAAAUCAAGGCAGAUCUAGACCAGCUUCGACUGACAGUAGAAAAGUCUGAGCUAUGGGUUGAGAAGAGCAGCA
rnacentral:sRNA from 1 species